rnacentral:rRNA from 1 species
UACGUAUGGUGCAAGCGUUAUCCGGAUUUACUGGGUGUAAAGGGAGCGCAGGCGGAAGGCUAAGUCUGAUGUGAAAGCCCGGGGCUCAACCCCGGUACUGCAUUGGAAACUGGUCAUCUAGAGUGUCGGAGGGGUAAGUGGAAUUCCUAGUGUAGCGGUGAAAUGCGUAGAUAUUAGGAGGAACACCAGUGGCGAAGGCGGCUUACUGGACGAUAACUGACGCUGAGGCUCGAAAGCGUGGGGAGCAAACAGGAUUAGAUACCCUGGUAGUCACUGACU